AAUGUUGACUUUGGUCCACAGUUGACUUUUUGGUCAACUUUGACCAAAGUCAACUCAAGUUCUUUCCUAUCCUAAACCACGAAAUGUCCAAUCCUAGUCCUAAUCCCAUUUUCCAAUUCCACCUUGAUUUUCAUAUGGCCAUUUGUACAUGAACUUCAAUAACCAUUUCAUUACAUGAACCUAAGCAUGACAAUAAUUAUGCACAAGAAUAACACAUUUGCAGUAGGCAGCAAGCCAAUAAUAGACAACAUCGAACAUACAUCAUGCAAUGUCAUUCAGUUCUCAAAAACACACAUUAACAUACCAUAAGUAUAAGCAGAACUACACCUGUUGCAAAUUCUGCAUCAAACACCUGCAACAUGAGGUCUGCAGCACACCACACCAUGGCUUGGAACCCUAUAUCUU
rnacentral:lncRNA from 1 species